UGAGUGGGUGGCGACCACGGAUCGACUAACUUUCCUAUCUCGAUAUGAUAAUGUUUGUAGAGUUGUUCACAGUUUUACUUUUAUUUACAUCAAAAAUCAGGGCGGGUUGUCGGAUAUGGUGCAUUUUCGAGUUAGGCCACAGACACACUGUACUGUCUCAAUUAACAGAUUGCUCAUGUUAUACCGUUCACAGCACUGCGUUCACUGCCUUUACAUAUACAAAUGUUGGUUGAUGUGCAUAUACAAAUGCCUCCCCCCAACUUUCCUCUUCUUUUUUUCACAAAAGUCCAGUUCAAGCCAUAUUCAAAGGACUCCAAGAACCUCAGGAAUGGGACUCUCCGGGCAAACGCCUGAGAUCAUUAGAAGAAGGAUAAAUCGAAGAAGAAAGAAAGAGGCCACAACAAAGACGGAUGUAGGUAGUGAAGGCAUUUUUAACCUUUCAGAUCAAACAUUAGAGAAAGAGGAGCUUAAGAUUCUUAAGAAGGGCUUAAAAUUUGCUCCAAUGUCAGAUUUUAAUUCCUUCGAUUUUUUUUAUAGAUCUUAAUUGUUUUACCAGAUAAUUAUGUGUAAAUACGUUUUUUUUAUAAUAAAAAGGAAGCUGCGCUAAUAGACACUACUACCAUAUACGUACACAGUAAUUUGAAAGAAAAAUCUAAAUUUUUCCCGAAAAAUAUGAUUUCUAAUGAAAUCAAAACAUUUGAAACAAUGAUAAUGAAAGAAGUGAGUAAAAUAAAAAAUACCAAUAUGUAACAAAAAAUCCUUCACAAAUAGAAAUAAAAGCUCUUAGGGAAUUACAGAAAAAUUAAGAAAUUGUAAUUAAACCAGCAGACAAAGGAGGAGGAGUUGUGGUUUUCUUGAAAGGAAAUUAUGUAAAAGAAGCCAAAAGACUUUUAAUGGACGAAAAGACCUAUUAAAAAAAUUAAAUCCAACCCGAGUCAAGUAAUUAAAGGGAACAUAUUCCACAUAUUGAAAAUACUUUGUGACAUAAAAUGGGAAGAGGAUUUUAUACUAGUUACAUGUGAUGUAACUUCCCUCUGCAGUAUUAUCCCACAUGAUAAGGGUACAGAGGCAGUGGAAUAUUUUCUAAAUAAAUCCAAUUUCCAAAAAGAACAAAUUGAUUUUAUUAUUAGAGGUAUAUUUUUAAUCCUUACCAACAUUUUUUUUUGUUUAAGGAUAGGUUUUUCUUCAAAUUAAUUGAAAGGCAAUGGGAACCAAGUUCGCACCCAGUUUUGCAAAUUUAUUAAUGGCGUACUGGGAAGAAAGAUUUAUUCUUCAGCACACUUUCUAUGCGAACUUGGUUACCUAUCGCCGUUUCAUUGAUGAUAUAUUUUUUAUUUGGAAAGGAGACAAACCAAGUCUCGGUAAUUUUUUAUACCAUCUUAAUACCAAUAAUUGGGGGAUUGUUUUUAACUUCAGUGCAGAGCACAAAAGAGAUCAACUUUUUGGAUCUUACAAUUUUUAUAGAAAAUGGGAAAUUACAUACAAAUAUUUUUUUUUAAAGAAGUCGAUGCAAACAGUUACAUAGAUUUUAAAAGUUGCCAUUACACUCCAGGGCUUAAUAAUGCACCAAAGAGUAAAUUCACGAGUUUAAAAGGGAAUAGCACACAUGAGAAAGAUUUCAUACAACAGACAAAUAAAACAAUUCAUUGAAAAAGGCUAUAAGGAAGUGGACCUCCAGAUGAAUAUAGAGGAAAUAAAAAAAAAAAAAAGGAUAGGAAAGCUCUACUAACUAUAAGAAAAAACAAAAUGAAGAAAUUAAGGAAGUAAAAGUCCCAUUUAUUUGUGAUAUUGCAGCUAGAAAUAAAAAAGUACAAUAUGCCAUUAAAAAGCAUCUCUUGCACGAUGAUCCCAUUCUUAAAAAUAUACUACCAUCAAAACCUAGAAUUGUACACAGGGGAUGUAAGAAUAUAAAGAACACAUUAGUAAGGAGUAAUUAUAAAGAUCCAAUAAAGGCAGAGAACUUCCUAACCAGCAGUAAAGUUUUUUUGGAUGCGGAAGUUGUUUAGCGUGUAGAGAAACCAAUAGUAAAAAGAGAAACGUAAAGAAUAUUAAUGAAUUUACAAAGAAAGGCUUUACAAUAAGAGAACAAUUAACUUGCUUUUCAAAAAAUAUUAUUUAUAUAUUAAAAUGUCCUUGUGACAUGUUGUACAUUGGGAGAACAAUUAGGUGUUUGCACAUCAGAAUAUCAGAACACGUCAGAAACAUUAAAAAUGGCAUAGAGACGCACAGUGUAUCCCAACAUUUUAAGGAGCAUCACAAUCAAAAUCCUAAAGAUCUCACCUUUUGUGUACUUAAAUUAGUCAAAAGAAAUUGGAGAGGAGGAGAUUUCAUGAAACAAAUUAGAUUUAUUUUUAAUUUUAGUACAUUAGCCCCCCAUGGUUUGAAUUUGGAUUUUGAAAUUUGUCAUUUUUUAACUUAAUAAUACUUUUAAUAUUAAUUUCCUACCAUCUUUUAUGAGCCUUUUUAUAUAUUCUUUUAUUAAAUUUAAAUUUAUAUUAAACUACCUAUUUAUGAAUUCAUCCCACCAUUUUCAUUUUUGAAGAAUUAUUUUACACUAUAAUUUUAUAGUGGUGUGGUGUCCAUUUUUUAUUACACAAUAUGCAACUUUUAUAAACAGUUUUUAAUAUUAAAUAUUUUGAAUUUGAAGAUAAAUGCUGUUUAAAUGUUCACAUUGUUUAUGUUUCUGAGCUAAAUGGAUUAUAUUAGAUCCUCUUGUACUGUAAUCUUAUAAUGGUCUUAUAUUACACAUUAUGCAAUCAUGGGUGUAAUAUGAAGCACUUCAAAUAACAGUUCUUAUACUUCUAAUUUGAAGAUGAAUGCUAUGUUAAAAUCUUUAAUUGUUUUUAUGUUUGUUUUAUAUGCUAUAUGGACUCAAUUAAAGCUUCCUGCAAGUGAAACUAAGGACAGAUAAAUUCUUCGUUGAA
rnacentral:lncRNA from 1 species